AACGAACGCUGGCGGCAUGCCUAACACAUGCAAGUCGAACGAGACCUUCGGGCUUAGUGGCGCACGGGUGCGUAACGCGUGGGAACCUGCCCUUAGGUUCGGAAUAACUCCCCGAAAGGGGUGCUAAUACCGGAUAAUGUCUUCCGACCAAAGAUUUAUCGCCUUUGGAUGGGCCCGCGUGGGAUUAGCUAGUUGGUAGGGUAAAAGCCUACCAAGGCGACGUUCCAUAGCUGGUCUGAGAGGAUGAUCAGCCACACUGGGACUGAGACACGGCCCAGACUCCUACGGGAGGCAGGAGUGGGGAAUAUAGGACAAUGGGCGAAAGCCUGAUCCAGCAAUGCCGGGUAAGUGAUGAAGGCCUUAGGGUUGUAAAGCUCUUUUACACGGGAUGAUAAUGACAGUACCGGGAGAAUAAGCACCGGCUAACUCCGUG
rnacentral:rRNA from 1 species